rnacentral:rRNA from 1 species
UACGUAGGAGGCAAGCGUUGUCCGGAAUUACUGGGCGUAAAGCGCGUGUAGGUGGUGGGACAAGUCUGCUGUGAAAGCGCCUGGCUUAACCGGGCGAGGUCGGCGGAAACUGUCGCACUCGAGGACGGUAGAGGGGGGUGGAAUUCCCGGUGUAGUGGUGAAAUGCGUAGAGAUCGGGAGGAACACCUGUGGCGAAGGCGGCCCCCUGGCCGGCCCUGACACUGAGACGCGAAGGCGUGGGGAGCGAACGGG